AGUCUCCAUGAUGAAAGUUACGCCGCCCCAGUCUGAUGUCUGACGAACGGCUUUUCUGAUC
rnacentral:snoRNA from 1 species